rnacentral:rRNA from 1 species
UACGGAGGGUGCGAGCGUUGUCCGGAAUCACUGGGCGUAAAGGGCGCGUAGGUGGCGGGGUAAGUCAGGUGUGAAAUCUCGAGGCUCAACCUCGAAACUGCACUUGAUACUGCCUUGCUCGAGUACUGGAGAGGAGAUUGGAAUUUACGGUGUAGCAGUGAAAUGCGUAGAUAUCGUAAGGAAGACCAGUGGCGAAGGCGAAUCUCUGGACAGUUACUGACACUGAGGCACGAAGGCCAGGGGAGCAAACGGG